CGACACCUGUACUACACUACAUGACUGAGUUACGGUACGGACAGGUUACACCUGUACUACACCACAUGACUGGGUUACGGUACAGACAGGUUACACCUGUACUACACCACAUGACUGAGUUACGGUACGGACAGGUUACACCUGUACUACAUGACUGAGUUACGGUACGGACAGGUUACACCUGUACUACAUGACUGAGUUACGGUACGGACAGGUUACACCUGUACUACAUGACUGAGUUACGGUACAGACAGGUUACACCUGUACUACAUGACUGAGUUACGGUACGGACAGGUUACACCUGUACUACAUGACUGAGUUACGGUACGGACACGACACCUGUACUACACCACAUGACUGAGUUACGGUACGGACAGGUUACACCUGUACUACACUACAUGACUGAGUUACGGUACGGGCACAACACCUGUACUACAUGACUGAGUUACGGUACGGACAGGUUACACCUGUACUACACUACAUGACUGAGUUACGGUACGGGCACAACACCUGUACUACAUGACUGAGUUACGGUACGGACAGGUUACACCUGUACUACAUUACAUGACUGAGUUACGGUACGGACAGGACACCUGUACUACACCACAUGACUGAGUUACGGUACGGACACGACACCUGUACUACACCACAUGACUGAGUUACGGUACGGACACGACACCUGUACUACACCACAUGACUGAGUUACAGUACAGACAGGUUACACCUGUACUACACCACAUGACUGAGUUACGGUACGGACAGGUUACACCUGUACUACAUUACAUGACUGAGUUACGGUACGGACAGGUUACACCUGUACUACACCACAUGACUGAGUUACGGUACGGACACGACACCUGUACUACACCACAUGACUGAGUUACAGUACAGACAGGUUACACCUGUACUACACCACAUGACUGAGUUACGGUACGGACAGGUUACACCUGUACUACACCACAUGACUGAGUUACGGUACGGACAGGUUACACCUGUACUACACCACAUGACUGAGUUACGGUACAGACAGGUUACACCUGUACUACAUGACUGAGUUACGGUACAGACAGGUUACACCUGUACUACACCACAUGACUGAGUUACGGUACGGACAGGUUACACCUGUACUACACCACAUGACUGAGUUACGGUACGGACAGGUUACACCUGUACUACAUGACUGAGUUACGGUACGGACAGGUUACACCUGUACUACAUGACUGAGUUACGGUACAGACAGGUUACACCUGUACUACAUGACUGAGUUACGGUACAGACAGGUUACACCUGUACUACACCACAUGACUGAGUUACGGUACGGACAGGUUACACCUGUACUACACUACAUGACUGAGUUACGGUACAGACAGGUUACACCUGUACUACACUACAUGACUGAGUUACGGUACAGACAGGUUACACCUGUACUACACUACAUGACUGAGUUACGGUACAGACAGGUUACACCUGUACUACACCACAUGACUGAGUUACGGUACAGACAGGUUACACCUGUACUACACCACAUGACUGAGUUACGGUACGGACAGGUUACACCUGUACUACACCACAUGACUGAGUUACGGUACAGACAGGUUACACCUGUACUACACCACAUGACUGAGUUACGGUACGGACAGGUUACACCUGUACUACAUGACUGAGUUACGGUACAGACAGGUUACACCUGUACUACACCACAUGACUGAGUUACGGUACGGACAGGUUACACCUGUACUACAUGACUGAGUUACGGUACAGACAGGUUACACCUGUACUACACCACAUGACUGAGUUACGGUACAGACAGGUUACACCUGUACUACAUGACUGAGUUACGGUACGGACAGGUUACACCUGUACUACACCACAUGACUGAGUUACGGUACGGACAGGUUACACCUGUACUACAUGACUGAGUUACGGUACGGACAGGUUACACCUGUACUACAUGACUGAGUUACGGUACGGACAGGUUACACCUGUACUACAUGACUGAGUUACGGUACGGACAGGUUACACCUGUACUACACCACAUGACUGAGUUACGGUACGGACAGGUUACACCUGUACUACACCACAUGACUGAGUUACGGUACGGACACAGGUUACACCUGUACUACAUGACUGAGUUACGGUACGGACAGGUUACACCUGUACUACACCACAUGACUGAGUUACGGUACAGACAGGUUACACCUGUACUACAUGACUGAGUUACGGUACAGACAGGUUACACCUGUACUACAUGACUGAGUUACGGUACAGACAGGUUACACCUGUACUACAUGACUGAGUUACGGUACAGACAGGUUACACCUGUACUACAUGACUGAGUUACGGUACGGACAGGUUACACCUGUACUACACCACAUGACUGAGUUACGGUACAGACAGGUUACACCUGUACUACACUACAUGACUGAGUUACGGUACGGACAGGUUACACCUGUACUACAUGACUGAGUUACGGUACAGACAGGUUACACCUGUACUACAUGACUGAGUUACGGUACAGACAGGUUACACCUGUACUACAUUACAUGACUGAGUUACGGUACAGACAGGUUACACCUGUACUACACCACAUGACUGAGUUACGGUACGGACAGGUUACACCUGUACUACACCACAUGACUGAGUUACGGUACAGACAGGUUACACCUGUACUACACCACAUGACUGAGUUACGGUACAGACACAGGUUACACCUGUACUACACCACAUGACUGAGUUACGGUACAGACAGGUCACACCUGUACUACAUCACAUGACUGAGUUACGGUACGGACAGGUUACACCUGUACUACACCACAUGACUGGGUUACAGUACAGACAGGUUACACCUGUACUACAUGACUGAGUUACGGUACAGACAGGUUACACCUGGACCCCUGGCCAGGUAAACACUAUAGCAGUUUAGUCCCAAAUGGCCCUCUGUUCCCUUGAUAGUGCGCUUCUGUUGACCAGAUUGCUAUGGGUUAAUCCUAUGGGCCCUGGUCUAAAGUAGUGUACUGUAUCGGAAAUGUAGUGCCAUUUUGGACACAUACCACGUUCUGAGAACCACCACGUUGACCGUUCACACUAGAUCCAUCCACAAGUC